AAAUGAGAGUGUCAAUGAUGUAGAUGAUGCAAAGAAUGCAAGGACGGACGAUACAGAUGAGCUUCAAUAUGAAAAGGAGGUCAAAGAGUGUCCUGAGGCUGAACUAGAGCAUGAUAGACCAUCAAAGUGUGUCAAAGAUGUCGGGUUGGACCCAAUAGAAGAUGAUCUGAAAAGUAUUGGCAGCUGGCCCUCGGAGUUCAAGAUGCUUCAGAAAGAGAUCAUUGAACUUUGGAAUGUUUGCAACAUUUCCCUCGUACACAGAACAUAUUUCUUCCUCCUUUUCCAAGGUGAUGCUAAGGAUGCUGUAUAUCUGGAGGUAGAGAUCAGAAGACUGACCUUCCUCAAUGACACAUAUUCGCAUGGAGA
rnacentral:misc_RNA from 1 species